rnacentral:rRNA from 1 species
UACGAAGGGGGCUAGCGUUGUUCGGAAUUACUGGGCGUAAAGCGCACGCAGGCGGCUCGAUAAAUUAGAAGUGAAAGCCCCGGGCUUAACCUGGGAAUUGCUUUUAAGACUGUCGGGCUAGAAUCCAGAAGAGGGUAGUGGAAUUCCGAGUGUAGAGGUGAAAUUCGUAGAUAUUCGGAAGAACACCAGUGGCGAAGGCGGCUCACUGGCCCGAUACUGACGCUGAUGCACGAAAGCGUGGGGAGCAAACAGG